rnacentral:rRNA from 1 species
GAUAUGGCUCAGGAUGAACGCUAGCUACAGGCUUAACACAUGCAAGUCGAGGGGCAGCAUGAACUUAGCUUGCUAAGUUUGAUGGCGACCGGCGCACGGGUGAGUAACACGUAUCCAACCUGCCGAUGACUCGGGGAUAGCCUUUCUAAAGAAAUAUUAAUACCCGAUGGCAUAGUUCUUCCGCAUGGUAGAACUAUUAAAGAAUUUCGGUCAUCGAUGGGGAUGCGUUCCAUUUAGG